GGUUUGGUUCCGCGCAAUGGGAACCCGUGAACCUCGUCAGGUCCGGAAGGAAGCAGCGAUAAGCGGAUUAUCCCAUGUGCCGCGGAUCGGCCUGACCCUG
rnacentral:SRP_RNA from 1 species